rnacentral:rRNA from 1 species
GACAGAGGAUGCAAGCGUUAUCCGGAAUGAUUGGGCGUAAAGCGUCUGUAGGUGGCUUUUUAAGUCCGCCGUCAAAUCCCAGGGCCUCAACCCUGGACAGGCGGUGGAAACGUACCAAGCUGGAGUACGGUAGGGGCAGAGGGAAUUUCCGGUGGAGCGGUGAAAUGCGUAGAUAGUCAGGAGGAACACCGAUGGCGAAGGCAGGUCUCUGGGCCACUACUGACGCUGAGAAGCGAAAGCAUGGGGAGCGAACAGG